rnacentral:rRNA from 1 species
CAAUAGCGUAUAUUAAAGUUGUUGCAGUUAAAAAGCUCGUAGUUGGAUUUCGGGGCAGCCUGGCUGGUCCGCAGCAAGGCGAGUACUGGUCAGCCGCCCUUCCUCUCGAAAGCCCCGACUGCUCUUCGUUGCAGUGGUCGGGUAGUUCGGGACGUUUACUUUGAAAAAAUUAGAGUGUUCAAGGCAGGCCUACGCCUGAAUACAUUAGCAUGGAAUAAUGGAAGAGGACCUCGGUCCUAUUUUGUUGGUUUCCAGGGCCGAAGUAAUGAUUAAGAGGGACAGUUGGGGGCAUUCGUAUUUAAUUGUCAGAGGUGAAAUUCUCGGAUUUAUGAAAGACGAACAACUGCGAAAGCAUUUGCCAAGGAUGUUUUCAUUAA